rnacentral:rRNA from 1 species
UCAAGGUUUCCAGGGGAAGGUUCGUCCGCCCUGGGUUAGUCGGGACCUAAGCCGAGGCCGAAAGGCGUAGGUGAUGGACAACAGGUUGAUAUUCCUGUACCGCCAAUAAGCGUUUGAGAGAUGGAGUGACACAGUAGGAUAAGCUAACCGUACUGUUGGUUAUGUACGGCUAAGCAUUGAGGCAGUCUAAAUAGGCAAAUCCGUUUAGACAAUGCUAGGAUGUGAUGGGGAAGCCCUUCGGGGCGAAGUAGCUGAUUUCACACUGUCAAGAAAAGCUUCUACCGAGUUUAAAGGCGCCCGUACCGUAAACCGCCACAGGUGGGUGAGGAGAGUAUCCUAAGGCCAGCGAGAGAACUAUUGUUAAGGAACUCGGCAAAAUGACCCCGUAACUUAGGGAGAAGGGGUGCCUGUCUAUGACAGGCCGCAGAGAAUAGGCCCAAGCGACUGUUUACCAAAAACACAGGUUUCUGCUAAGUCGCAAGACGAUGUAUAGGAGCUGACGCCUGCCCGGUGCUGGAAGGUUAAGGGGAUCUGUUAGAGCAAUCGAAGCAGUGAACUUAAGCCCCAGUAAACGGCGGCCGUAACAAUAACGGUCCUAAGGUAGCGAAAUUCCUUGUCGGGUAAGUUCCGACCCGCACGAAAGGCGUAACGAUUUGGGCACUGUCUCAACAAUAGACUCGGUGAAAUUGUAAUCCCGGUGAAGAUGCCGGGUACCUGCGACAGGACGGAAAGACCCCAUGGAGCUUUACUGUAGCUUGACGUUGGGUCUUGGUACUACAUGUACAGGAUAGGUGGGAGACUAUGAAGCAUGGACGCCAGUCUGUGUGGAGUCAUCCUUGGGAUACCACCCUUGUAGUACUGGGAUCCUAACCAUAGGCCUUGAAUCAGGUCUUGGAACACCGUCAGGUGGGCAGUUUGACUGGGGCGGUCGCCUCCUAAAAAGUAACGGAGGCGCUCAAAGGUUUCCUCAGCACGGUCGGAAAUCGUGCGAAGAGUGUAAAGGCAAAAGGAAGCUUGAUUGCAAGACAUACAGGUCGAGCAAGGACGAAAGUCGGACUUAGUGAUCCGGUGGUACCGCAUGGAAGGGCCAUCGCUCAACGGAUAAAAGCUACCCUGGGGAUAACAGGCUUAUCUCCCCCAAGAGUCCACAUCGACGGGGAGGUUUGGCACCUCGAUGUCGGCUCAUCACAUCCUGGGGCUGUAGUAGGUCCCAAGGGUUGGGCUGUUCGCCCAUUAAAGUGGUACGCGAGCUGGGUUCAGAACGUCGUGAGACAGUUCGGUCCCUAUCCGUCGCAGGCGUGGGAAAUUUGAGAAGACCUGUCCUUAGUACGAGAGGACCGGGAUGGACGUACCUCUGGUGUACCAGUUGUUCUGCCAAGGGCAUGGCUGGGUAGCUAUGUACGGAAUGGAUAAGCGCUGAAAGCAUCUAAGCGCGAAGCCAACUUCAAGAUAAGAUUUCCCACCGUAAGGGUAAGACCCCAGGAAGACUACCUGGUUGAUAGGUCGAAGGUGUAAGUGCAGUAAUGUAUUUAGCUUAUCGAUACUAAUAGGUCGAGGACUUGACC